rnacentral:rRNA from 1 species
GACGAACGCUGGCGGCGUGCUUAACACAUGCAAGUCGAACGGAAAGGCCCUGCUUUUGUGGGGUGCUCGAGUGGCGAACGGGUGAGUAACACGUGAGUAACCUGCCCUUGACUUUGGGAUAACUUCAGGAAACUGGGGCUAAUACCGGAUAGGAGCUCUUGCUGCAUGGUGGGGGUUGGAAAGUUUCGGCGGUUGGGGAUGGACUCGCGGCUUAUCAGCUUGUUGGUGGGGUAGUGGCUUACCAAGGCUUUGACGGGUAGCCGGCCUGAGAGGGUGACCGGCCACAUUGGGACUGAGAUACGGCCCAGACUCCUCCGGGAGGCAGCAGUGGGGAAUAUUGCACAAUGGGCGGAAGCCUGAUGCAGCAACGCCGCGUGCGGGAUGACGGCCUUCGGGUUGUAAACCGCUUUCGCCUGUGACGAAGCGUGAGUGACGGUAAUGGGUAAAGAAGCACCGGCUAACUACGUG